GGGCGAGUCACAGAGACACGGGGUCUCCCGGGCCUUGCGUCCCCACAGCGCCCCCCUCUGACGCGAAACCUGCUCCCUGAGAGGGGAAACUCCGCAAGCUCCACGGCUGCUCCUGGUCUCCAAAAGGGUGAGGAACGCCUGGCCCCCCUCCCCUUUCACCUUCUGUUAUCAGGGUUGUGCCCCAGCCUGACCACGGCCCCGUUGUGCUGGGCGCUGCACAAACACCCAGGAAGAUGCAGCCCUUGCUCCAGCGAGUUUCCAGUCCGGGUCUCAAGAAGAGCUUGGUGCCUCCGCCCAAGGCAGCAGUGGCACCUAACAGUGGCCUCCCUGAGCAAUGACUCAUAUGGUCAGAACACCCUGAAAGGAUUUGGCUACAUUGUAUCCUGAUGUCAGGUGAGGAUGUUAUAAAGAGCUGCCUACUUGGAAAGUAAUCAGAUUCCGCUGUUAAAGCUGUGAAGGCAGAGAGGUGAAGAAAAAGUAACAUAGAAGUUAGACCCUUGUAAUUAUGAAUUGUUAACACCAACAUGCAUUUAUCUUUACUCCACUAA